rnacentral:rRNA from 1 species
CUGCUCAAUGAAAAAUUUUUAAAUAGCUGCAGUAUUUAUUGACUGUACAAAGGUAGCAUAAUCAAUUGAGUUUUUAAUGGAGUCUAGAAUGAAGGGUUAAAUGUAAUAUAAACUGUAUCUAUUUAAAAUUAAUAACUUUUAUUUUAAGUAAAAAUACUUAAAUAAAUAUAUAAGACGAGAAGACCCUAUAGAAUUUUAUAAAAUUUUAAUAAUAUAUGUAAUAAUUAUAUGUUAUUAAAAAUUAUUUUAUUGGGGUUAUAAAAAAAUUUUAAAAAUUUUUUUAAAAUUUUAAACAAAUAUAUUUGAAAAAUUUAAAGAAUAUUUAAUAUUAGGUAGUAGACUAAAUUACCUUAGGGAUAACAGCAUAAUUUUUUUGGAAAGAUCAUAUUAAUAAAAAAGAUUAUGACCUCGAUGUUGAAUUA